rnacentral:rRNA from 1 species
AGAGUUUGAUCCUGGCUCAGGAUGAACGCUAGCGGCAGGCCUAAUACAUGCAAGUCGAGGGGUAACAUGGUCUUCGGACUGAUGACGACCGGCGGACGGGUGCGUAACGCGUAUGCAACUUACCCAUUACAGGGAGAUAGCCCGUGGAAACAUGGAUUAAUAUCCCAUAAAGCAGGGGUUUCGCAUGGAACUAUUUGCUAAAGAUUUAUCGGUAAUGGAUGGGCAUGCGUCUGAUUAGUUAGUUGGUGUGGUAAUGGCGCACCAAGGCGACGAUCAGUAGGGGGUCUGAGAGGAUGAUCCCCCACACUGGUACUGAGAUACGGACCAGACUCCUACGGGAGGCAGCAGUAGGGAAUAUUGGUCAAUGGACGAGAGUCUGAACCAGCCAUGCCGCGUGCAGGAAGACGGCCUUCUGGGUUGUAAACUGCUUUUCUACGGGAAUAAAAUAGUCUUGCGAGACGGAUUGCAUGUACCGUAGGAAUAAGCACCGGCUAACUCCGUGCCAGCAGCCGCGGUAAUACGGAGGGUGCAAGCGUUGUCCGGAUUUAUUGGGUUUAAAGGGUGCGUAGGCGGGUUGAUUAAGUCA